rnacentral:lncRNA from 1 species
CUACUCAGAAGGCUUAGAUGGGAGGAUUGCUGAGCCCAGGAGGUGAAGGCUGCAGUGAGCUGAGAUCUUGAAAUGAGAUUAUCGGAAAAGGUGGCAUUUCAUAGUCAUCAAUAUACAGGAAAUCAGAGAACCUCAAGGGAAUAAUUAACAAUUUGAUGUCUUAAGUCUAUUUCCUAGGAUAGCAGGUUCAUAGUUGGAGGCUUACAUAUUAAGAGAAUUCUCAGGAUCAACACUCGUUAUGAAGUGUUGAGAUUACAGGCAUGAGCCACUAUGCCAGCCCAACACUGGUCUUCUGGAAUGAGCCCCCAAUUAACCUCUUCAAUCAGAGAAAGCAAAAAAUGACUUUUAUUGAAUGCCUACCCUA